AGCAUGCGAGUCAUUGUAGUAAUACAAGGCAGACGGCUCAGUAACGCGUAGUCAACCUAACCUAUGGACGGGAAUAACCUCGGGAAACUGAGUAUAAUGCCCGAUAGAACAUUAUGCCUGGAAUGGUUUAUGUUCCAAAUGAUUUAUCGCCGUAGGAUGGGACUGCGGCCUAUCAGUUUGUUGGUGAGGUAAUGGCCCACCAAGACUAUUACAGGUACGGGCUCUGAGAGGAGUAGCCCGGAGAUGGGUACUGAGACACGGACCCAGGCCCUAUGGGGCGCAGCAGGCGAGAAAACUUUGCAAUGUGCGAAAGCACGACAAGGUUAAUCCGAGUGGUUUCUGCUAAAGGAACCUUUUGACAGUCCUAGAAACACUGUUGAAUAAGGGGUGGGCAAGUUCUGGUGUCAGCCGCCGCGGUAAAACCAGCACCUCAAGUGGUCAGGAUGAUUAUUGGGCCUAAAGCAUCCGUAGCCGGCUCUGUAAGUUUUCGGUUAAAUCUGUACGCUCAACGUACAGGCUGCCGGGAAUACUGCAGAGCUAGGGAGUGGGAGAGGUAGACGGUACUCGGCAGGAUCGCCCCCAACACACUCAUCAUUGAUCUAUUGAUGACCACCUGUGGCGAAGGCGGUCUACCAGAACACGUCCGACGGUGAGGGAUGAAAGCUGGGGGAGCAAACCGGAUUAGAUACCCGGGUAGUCCCAGCUGUAAACCAUGCAAACUCAGUGAUGCAUUGGCUUGUGGCCAAUGCAGUGCUGCAGGGAAGCCGUUAAGUUUGCCGCCUGGGAAGUACGUACGCAAGUAUGAAACUUAAAGGAAUUGGCGGGG
rnacentral:rRNA from 1 species